GGAAAUGGGCGGCAGCUAACACAUGCAAGUCGAGCGGAAACGAGUUAACUGAACCUUCGGGGAACGUUAACGGCGUCGAGCGGCGGACGGGUGAGUAAUGCCUGGGAAAUUGCCCUGAUGUGGGGGAUAACCAUUGGAAACGAUGGCUAAUACCGCAUAAUAGCUUCGGCUCAAAGAGGGGGACCUUCGGGCCUCUCGCGUCAGGAUAUGCCCAGGUGGGAUUAGCUAGUUGGUGAGGUAAUGGCUCACCAAGGCGACGAUCCCUAGCUGGUCUGAGAGGAUGAUCAGCCACACUGGAACUGAGACACGGUCCAGACUCCUACGGGAGGCAGCAGUGGGGAAUAUUGCACAAUGGGCGCAAGCCUGAUGCAGCCAUGCCGCGUGUAUGAAGAAGGCCUUCGGGUUGUAAAGUACUUUCAGCAGUGAGGAAGGUGGGUAUGUUAAUAGCAUACACAUUUGACGUUAGCUGCAGAAGAAGCACCGGCUAACUCCGUGCCAGCAGCCGCGGUAAUACGGAGGGUGCGAGCGUUAAUCGGAAUUACUGGGCGUAAAGCGCAUGCAGGUGGUUUGUUAAGUCAGAUGUGAAAGCCCGGGGCUCAACCUCGGAAUUGCAUUUGAAACUGGCAAACUAGAGUACUGUAGAGGGGGGUAGAAUUUCAGGUGUAGCGGUGAAAUGCGUAGAGAUCUGAAGGAAUACCGGUGGCGAAGGCGGCCCCCUGGACAGAUACUGACACUCAGAUGCGAAAGCGUGGGGAGCAAACAGGAUUUAGAUACCCUGGUAGUCCACGCUCGUAAACGAUGUCUACUUGGGGUGUUGUGUC
rnacentral:rRNA from 1 species